ensembl:lncRNA
UGUUUAAUUGCUCUAAUCAAGAAAAUAAAACCCUUCACAGCUGACCUCGGUGUUUUCGCAGAUUUUGUGAUAUUGCACAAUGGAUGGAGACUUAGAACAAAAGCACAAGUGCAGGUUCAGCCAUUCUGAAAUAAAACCUGUGUAUAUGCAGAGCCUCUGAUGAUAUAAAGAAAAUUCCAGCUGAGACAAUCUUCCACUUAUUUGUUUCAUGAUCAUAUGAACAAGCAGAGAAUGUCCUAAGCUUUGUUCCCAGUACCCAGGCUGACAAGCUGUCUGGAGUCAGAAUAACCCUGGCCUCAUACUUCUUCCUACAGUCUCCUACUGAGUGUAAAAUAUGGCUGUCUUGCAGUUUGAAUAAGGCUUUUAAUAUGCUAUGGGAUGUCACGGUCCACAGAAGUGGAAUACAGUGUUCUGCUUGCUGUGAAAUAGAAAAAAGCUAACCAAACUGGUUCCUUCCUCCUGAGUACAUAGUGACUGGUUUGAAGUUCAGUCACUGAGACUAAAAAUAUCAGCUUGAUCACAAAGGAAAGAAAAACAUUCGACAGAUGGAUUUCGUCUUCCUUCAGCAUGAACAUCUAUUUGCCACUAAAAGUUUGGUUAGAACGUUGAAGCCAAAUAAUGUGAUCUCUUCUCAAUCCAUCAAGAACAGUCUGUGGCUUAAGGUGGAUGCUAUUUCAGUGCUCUCAUAGAAAGCAAGCUAUUUGGAAGGUUGUACACGGCUGGGGUAAAAGAAAUGUUUAUUUAAGAAUAUAAAGAGAAGCAACUCUUAAGAGUGGGCUUUUAUUCCACUGUAGGGCUGUGCUCACCUGAGCUGAGGUGCUGACUCUGUCCUCACACCCACACAAAUGGGCACAGAUUGCUCUAAUGAGAACAGGCAGUGCUUGGUGUGAUGGUGCAAAUGGCGGUGGUUAUAGGAGAAGUGUCAGGAACAGCAAACAAUUGGGUGGCAUCAAACAUCGCUAGAGUUGCUAAGUUUCUUACAGGUUUCUCACCACCUUUUUACCUCCUCGUCUUCCAGAUAAGUUGCAAUUAAGACCUACCUGUGGUCAUGACCAUUAUCUGAUAUGAGAUGUCAUCAGCAAAAUAAACACACAUUGCUUUGUGUCAAACUUUUCUCAGUGAUCAGGAAAGUCCAUGGGGAAGGUGUAUAUCAGCGCUGAGGUAUGCUGAGGUGUGACAGCUAAAGGACACUUUCUGGAAAUCUUUGCUUCUUCCUCACAGCCUGUACCAAGGAGGACCCUGCCAUGGCCCUGAUUCUGAGGAUUACGAGUGCAUUUCAUCAUUUUAUGACUGAAACCAGCACAGAGCUGUGUUUAUUUUCAAGCUCUACAGAGUGCUGUUUUACUGUGUUGGACUCAACCAAGGCUACUGUCCAAUUUUAAUAGAUGUAUUUUCCACAGGAAAUUAAUGUAUUGUUUCCCCAAAGCUAUUUCAGUCAGCAAACCUCGCUGCAGGCUGCCUGAGCUGAACGUUACUUCAGCUGGCCAAACAAAUCAGGUGCUCUCAGACAGUCCUCUGCCUAGUUUUGGCCAAGUGAGCUGUGACAGUCCGAGGGCUACCACCGGGAGCUGAACAACCCUACGUAUUUUUCACAUGGAAAACCAUGUACGGAGAGGUUCCUAAUUGCUGUGUUAGUUCUUUGGCAAUCGGUACUGUGUGGAGUCACCAUCACUGAAUUUGGACUUCACUUAUCCCUGGAAAACUCCGUGGCUAAGCUGAAAUAACGAUAAUAAAGGAGUGAAAACUGAGAAAUGGAAUGGAAAGAAUUUUGCAGAAGUGACAGCUUCAUCAUUCCCCAGAAGAUACUGCACUUCACUCAGCAAUCUCUACCAUUACGAGCACCGUGCUGAUAGUUGAAUGCUAAAUUGUUGGCCAUGAAACUAAUGUGCCGGGGUUCUUUACACUGAUGCCAGCUAGCUACCCUAUUCUGGAUCUGUAAGGCAUUUUUUAUUUUUAAUCUUGGUGCUGGCCAACAGAUAUAUGCUCUUUGGGUAGUUUGGUAAGGAUCUGCUCCCAUCUACAAAAUUAUUAGUCACGAGUACUUGGUAUUUUCCUGUCUGCUGCUGACUCUCCCCCAGCAAUGCUGGUUUGCUCUUGUGGAGGCCACAGAGACUCUACAACAUAUAUAGUAAAUAACAGAUCUGCACUAAGCUUGUCUCCACCAUGCUUGUCAAUUCUGUGAGACAUGUUCCCGCUUUGUGGGACUUCAACACCAUCUCCCAAGUCCUUUGGACAAAGGCAUAAUGCUAUCAGACACAUGGUUUGAAAUUCGCAUGGUCCUGUGUGGAGCCAGGAGUUGGAAUCAAUCAUCCUUGCAGGUCUCUUCCAACUCAGGACAUUCUAUGAUUCUAUUCUGUGACUCUAUGAGUCUCCAGCUGCAGGUCCCAACUACAGAAUUUGGAGCAUGAAGCUCUUAGCUCUUAUAGUGCUCCUGCUAGCAUAAAUGCUGCAGACACAAAGCUAUGUUAGCUAGAUAAUCAGAGAGACUGGAGAAACCAUUAGCCAAAUGGAGAAGUGCUCCCUCUCUGUAACCAUGGUGCCUAAGCCCAGAUGGAUCUGAGCUGGAGCACACAGAUGUAGGUACCCAGCUCUUCUCAUGGGCUCUUUGGGAAGAUGUCAGUGGGUGUCUCCAUUCCCUAUGGCUUGGUGAGUGCCAUUGGAUGAUUGGUCAUUUGCUUCACCUGCUGUUCAUUGAGCUGCUGCAGAUACUGGGAGGGGUUUAAAAGGUUAACUGGAUAGAUAUGUGUGUGCCAGAGCAAAAUGAGCAAGUAGUUCUUUGUGUGUGCUGGACACCCUCAUGUGCAGGACAAGCUCCUUGGCACAACCUGGGGUAGUUGAUACUGGUGCACUAAGCCUGGGGAAGAAUCCAGAAUCUGCAGCAACAAACAUGUACAAAGCAUAGCUGUGGAAGUAAUUAAGUGAAUUUAGAUCAUAUGUGGUUUUGGAGCCUGAUGUGGUGCAUGUGCCAGACUUCUGACAGCUCUCAGUUUCUUUUUUAGGGCCAUCACUCUUGCUUUAUGCCUUGAAUUUUACUGUAAGUGCUUAGGGGAUGGGUGAAGUCUUUUCUCUUUGAAGUAUUGCGUAGCAAGAUGGUAGAAGGUAAAGAACUGCUUAGGCUUUCAUUUCAGGCCCCUGAUCUUCCAGGUAUCCACAUUGUCAAGUCUCUUUCCAGCUGACUCUCAGUUUCUCUGUAAUGGAAGCAGAGGCAUUUUGGAGGCUGACUUUCUACAGCAAAAAGUGAUUAGAUAAAAAGAUGAUGCAAGCUCACUUUAAAGAAAAAGAAGAAACCAUGAAGGAGGCUAAUCAAUCUCUGUAACUUUCUGAAUGAUUAUUAGAUACAAUCUUUUUUGCUUAUUUGUUUCUGUGUCAUUAACUGCGGGUCACAAUGUACUCUUAAGCAUAAAUCUGUCCACAAAACCCUGAAAUGCAGCUUGCAUCAGGGAUGGUGGGGUUAGGAAUUCAAGGGUAAGCAGUAGCUGAGCUGGUCUAGCAAUUUCAUGAGUUGGGAUUGCUUGAUUCUUCUUUCUCAUGCUUUUUGUAUGAAAUGAAUAGAUCUUUGUAAUUUAAUUUUGUUGCCAUUAACUUGGUGUUGAAUAGAAAAGGUAAGCUUUCACGCAUCGUAAGUACUGCCUUUAUGUCCUUUAUGUCCUGUUAGUUAUCUGUCUGUGUUUUUUCUGUUUUGUAAAUCUCCGGGUAUCGUACAUUAUAACCAAAUUAUUUUCUAAAAAAAUGCUUUGAGGAAACUCAGAGAUCAUCCAAAUGUUUGCAGCUGUAUUACCUCAUCCCAAGCUGUCAAGGUCGGGCCACCUGGGGACCCCACCUAAGUUAUGGGUGCUCCAGGAAGCACUGAUGACAGCACAGCAGGUGGCAUGCUGCCCUCUGAGUCACAACAGAGAAGUCUGUCACCACUGGGUACUGGCACAGUCCUCUGAUAGAGAUGUCUUUCAGACGAGGCAUAAAACUGACCAUUGGAAACUCUGGAGUGUUUUCUCACCGAAAGGGCCAGGCUCUUCUCAGUGGCAUCAGGACAAGGAACAAUGAUCUAAAACUUGAACAUAAGGAAGUUCCAUACAAACAUGUGGAAAAACUUCUUAACAGUAAAGGUGACAGAGCACUGGAACAGGCUGCCCAGGGAGGAUGUGUAAUCUCUUUCUAUGGAGAUACUCAAGACCUGUCUGGAUGCCUACCUGAGCAACCUGCUGUAGGGUGCCUGCUUUAGCAGGGGGGUUGGACUCAAUUAUGUCUUCAAGACUCUUCUAACCACUGCAAUUCUGUGACUGAGAAAUGAACGCAAUGCUCUGCAUAAGGAAUAUUUGGAAAGGAAACUCUUGAACUGCUAAAAUAGAUGCCAGUGUGAUGUUCAGUAGUUUUCCUGUUCAAGCUUAAUUAGAGGAAUUUGUGAAAAGAGAAAUGAUUCACUAGGAACAGAAAUUUUUACUUUCAAAGUGUUCCAGAGUUUAGCAGUAUUUCAAUAAGUAUUGUUUAAGUCUGGAGGAUACUCAGUGUAAAAAAAAGCUUUGUUUUCCUCUACAUGGAAAAAUGAUUGAGUUUAGGUUUAACUAAUAUAAAACCUAGGCUAAAUUCCUCUCUUCUAAUGAACUCAGUACCUAAGGGCUCAGAUUUGAAGCUGUAGUUCCUAACUGCGCUGUUAUCAAAUCAUAUAAAUACCUAACUGAGCUCCCUCUCAUGUGCCCAAAUGUACUGUGGUGACUGUGUGCUGAAAGUAAGUCUGAGUGUGUACAGCAAAUCUCAAACUGGCCAUCACAGCUAUUGUAAAUGCUGAAUUUGUUUUGUAGCCCUUCUACUUGCUUCUCUCCCAAAGACUUCGAUACCAUGACACAUUCUACUGAAGUGAGGAGGACAUCUCUGAUUCAGCCCCCGUCCAUGGGGCUGCUGUAUUGUUCUGUCCUCAGUGGGCUGGCCGGUGUAGUGACUGGUAGCUGGCAGGGAGGUGGGAGAAGGUGUCCUUUGCAGCACAGUGGAGCAGCACAGUAGACCCUACAGCCUUCCAAGUCUUCCCUGUCUGCAUGUGCUCAUGUCUCCCUAGCUCAGCUCCCUCUCCCUCCCUGAAGUGUGCCCCUCCAAAAAGUAGUAAGUACCUUAGAAGUCUAAAGAUAGAAUAAGCUUAACAAUUCAGAUAUUUGAAAUGAAAAGCUAUAUAACACAUAGCAAGGAUUAUGUGGUACCGAAGGGCUGUCAGUUCUACUGUGCAGAUAAAACAAGCCAAAGGUAGAAGAUAUUUAAAGGGCAGAAUCUGUGUGACCAUCUUUUUGAGGCAGAUUCUUUCUUCUUGCUCUUAUCUGCACCGAGACCUGAUGAGUCUAGUGGAAGAAGGCCAUCAGCACAAAGCAUAAAAGUGCUGGGCCUACUGCUUCUGUGCAGCUGACAGACACAAACAUGCCUUCUGAACAAGUCUGUUGUGGAUAGAACACUUUUAACCCUACCUCCGCAG